rnacentral:ncRNA from 1 species
UCAAAUGCGAAGAACAGGACAAUGCUUUUCUGAGUAUCUACGCAUGGCAGAGAGCUUUCGGUUGGUGAGAGAAAGCAGCGCGACAGAAAAGAUAUCACCUGCAAGCAGUCUGUAUGAAAACAGGAAACUGUAAGUAAGACAGACCGGGGUCCCGCCGUUAAAAGGGAGCGUAUUCGUCCGGACAGAGAGUCGGAGGAUAGGACAGAGUGGUCGGUGCAAACCGGCAAUAAGAAGUGGUAACGCGGAGUUUGGAACUUCGUCUUCUUG